UCCCGAGUAGCAUAAUAGUUAGUGCGUCGGCCUUUGAAGCCGGGAGGUCACGGUGCAAAUCCGUGCUCGGGUGCUA
rnacentral:tRNA from 1 species